rnacentral:rRNA from 1 species
UACGGAGGGGGCAAGCGUUAUUCGGAAUUAUUGGGCGUAAAGGGCGCGUAGGCGGCUAGAUGUGUCAAAGGUGAAAUCCCUCGGCUCAACUGAGGAACUGCCUUUGAAACUGUCUGGCUUGAGUACUGGAGAGGUUGGUGGAAUUCUCGGUGUAGAGGUGAAAUUCGUAGAUAUCGAGAGGAACACCGGUGGCGAAGGCGGCCAACUGGACAGAUACUGACGCUGAGACACGAAAGCGUGGGUAGCAAACAGG